AACUGUACAGGGCCAUUGACAUGGAGCUGGGAGUAAAGAUAAUCUAGCCAGAUAACUUGGCAUGCUUUUGAGCUGAUGGAACAACGAACUGGCCAUGGAAUCAUCAAGCGACCGUGCCAAUGCCAUCUGUGUAAAGAAUGUUCUUCACAGGUGGAGGAAUCCAAGCUGGAUUAUUGGCAUUCUGACCUUCACUUUCUUCUCAAAUGCAAAUCCCAGCUUCAUUGCUGCCCAAAUGCUAUCAAAACUGGUCUAACUGACCAGUGAAAAUCCUCAAGAUGUUGUUACUCAAGUGCUGAAAUUAACUGCCUCGACCGGUCAUACUAUGCCGAGUUCCCGACGAACGAACCAAGCUUUCGAUGCACGUUUUCCCUGCAGAUGCCAGCUUGAUGUGGGAGAACCACCCUCCCAAAAAGACCACCAUCUUUGGCUCGUGGUGUUUGAAGAGUUGGUUGUUGCCAUGAUGUUGAAUCCUUCCACUCUCUAUAUCGUCCUGAUCAUAGUUUCUUGAUAGAGAUGAUGUCCUGAUUGUUUAGAGCAAAAAGGAUCUAAGGAUCAGUAAAAAGUGAUGAACGAAUGUGUUGUAUGCAGCAUGAGGCUUAACUCAUUGUUGAUAAGCAACAAAUGUGUAUUAGUGUUACCUAUUGUGCAGUUUUGGGGAAACCUGGCCUUUCUUUGAUUGCUUUCUUAUAACAUUGUAGCCAGUUGUGACAUGCCGGACAAAUUGAAGCUGAUAUGUUGAAACAAGGAAAUUCUAUGAACAUAUGCAAUGACAUUCCUGAUGGUUACUAAAUUCACAAUAAUGUAUCACAAUGAUCAACAACAGACCUCAUCCCAAUUUGAGAUUCCACGUCGGUUAGAGAGAGGAACGAAACAUUCCUUAUAAGGGUGUGGAAACCUCUUCCUAACAGACGCGAUUUAAAACUGUGAGCCUGAUGGUGAUACCUAAUGGGUUAAAACGGACAAUAACUGCUAGCUGUGAGUUUGGGCUAUUACAAAUGGUAUUAGAGCCAGACAUUAGGUGGUGUGUCAGCGAGGACGCUGGACCUCAAUGGAGGUGGAUUGUGAGAU